rnacentral:rRNA from 1 species
AAACGACUCUCGACAACGGAUAUCUCGGCUCUCGCAUCGAUGAAGAACGUAGCUAAAUGCGAUACUUGGUGUGAAUUGCAGAAUCCCGUGAACCAUCGAGUCUUUGAACGCAAGUUGCGCCCGAAGCCGUCAGGCCGAGGGCACGUCUGCCUGGGCGUCACGCAUUGCGUCGCCCCCCC